AACCACACUAUUAGAAUUAGGCAUUUUAAAAUGUGAUAAUGCAGAAUCCUGGGUGCUUCUCUUCUUCUCAAGGUUAUGGCGGGGGUCGAAGCUCCCUAAUGGGGGGGUCUGUAAUGCGCUUUCAGCCUGUAACUAUGUCUGGGGCUUCCUGUACCUCGUGUGCAUGGCCACGUGGGUUUGUCUGCAUUUUUGGAAGCCGCCAAUGGCCUCUUAAAGCUAUGACUCAGUUAAUUUUGAAUCUCUAACAUGGUAGCUACACGUUUUUUUUUUUUUUUUUUUCGUUGGGAGGAAGGCAACCCCCCAGACGGCCGGUAGAGAGAUAUGCUAUGGCCUACUUUUUAUAUAACAUGGUCCUCAUAAACCCACAAAUCACUCAGGAUAUUAUGUAAAAAGUAACCACCAUUUGUCAAACUCAAGAAAGUGAUUAGGCAGGGAUAACUAACCAAGCCAAUCACCCCAAUUAAUAAAAAAGACAAUACUGAUCAAAUAACAAGCUGUCAGUCUGUAAUAACUAACAUGUAUUGCACUGGUAUAAGACCUGUGGACAAACUCGUGACAAUAAAAUAUGAGAGGGAAUUGUGAGCACCGGAAGCAGCCAAACCUUGAAGUGAAACAAAGCACUCAGGUCUCAUUUACCUAGAAACACCAUAAUUUUGUAGAAGCCAUGACACCCAGAUCUUAGUUAGAAAUACCAUAAGUGUAGUAGCAGUACAGAUAUAAUUGCAUAGUCAGCCAUCAAUGAACAGGUGGUGAGGAAUAUUUAUGCUAAGGGGAGACAGGUGGUCCUAGAUUAAGAGGUAAAUGGAGCACAAAGAGGAUUAAUGUUCUCAUAUACUUAAAAAUACCAUGUGUAAGUAGCAGUAUGGAUAUAUUAAGUGAAUAGACAGCCAUAGAAGAUAAUGAAUAUAAGCCAAGGGGAGACAUGCAGGUGGUAUUAAAUUAAGGGGUAAAUGGAGCACAAAGAGGAUUAAUGUUCUCAUAUACUUAAAAAUACCAUGUGUAAGUAGCAGUAUGGAUAUAUUAAGUGCAUAGACAGCCAUAGAAGAUAAUGAAUAUAAGCCAAGGGGAGACAUGCAGGUGGUAUUAAAUUAAGGGGUAAAUGGAGCACAAAGAGGAUUAAUGUUCUCAUAUACCUACAAAUACCAUGAAUGUAAUUAGCAGUACAUAUAUAAAUUCAUAAUCAGUCAUCAAUAAACAAUAUUGAGAAAUAAAGCUAAGGGAGAACAUAUAUGGAGCCAGAUUAUGGGGUAAAUGGAGCACAAGGUGAAUUAAUGUUUUCAUAUACCUUUAAAUGAUAUAAGUGUAAAUAGCAGUACAGACAUAAGUGCAUAGACAGCCAUUUAAGUAAAGGUAGUGAGGAAUAUAAGGCAAUUCGGGGGCAGACCCAGCUAGAUGAAGGGCGAAGUGGAGUACAAAAUGAUUUAAUGUUCUCAUAUAAUUAAAAAUACAAGUGUAAGUAGCAGUACAUAUAUAAGUGCAUAGACAGCCAUAGAAAUAGAGAUAGUAAUAUAAGCUAAGGGCAGACUAUUGUAAGGGGUGAAGAGCUGGAUUAAUAUUCUCAUAUACCUAAAAAAAUACCAUAAGCGUUAGUAGCAGUAAAGACAUAAGAAAUAAGGGAUAGUAGUAAAUGUAGUGAGGAAUAUAAGCAAGAAAAUAAGGGACAGUGGUAAAGGUAGUGAGGAAUAUAAGCAAGAAAAUAAGGGACAGUGGUAAAGGUAGUGAGGAAUAUAAGCAAGAAAAUAAGGGACAGUGGUAAAGGUAGUGAGGAAUAUAAGCAAGAAAAUAAGGGAUAGUGGUAAAGGUAGUGAGGAAUAUAAGCAAGAAAAUAAGGGACAGUGGUAAAGGUAGUGAGGAAUAUAAGCAAGAAAAUAAGGGACAGUGGUAAAGGUAGUGAGGAAUAUAAGCAAGAAAAUAAGGGAUAGUGGUAAAGGUAGUGAGGAAUAUAAGCAAGAAAAUAAGGGAUAGUGGUAAAGAUAGUGAGGAAUAUAAGCAAGAAAAUAAGGGAUAGUGGUAAAGGUAGUGAGGAAUAUAAGCAAGAAAAUAAGGGAUAGUGGUAAAGGUAGUGAGGAAUAUAAGCAAGAAAAUAAGGGACAGUGGUAAAGGUAGUGAGGAAUAUAAGCAAGAAAAUAAGGGACAGUGGUAAAGGUAGUGAGGAAUAUAAGCAAGAAAAUAAGGGAUAGUGGUAAAGGUAGUGAGGAAUAUAAGCAAGAAAAUAAGGGACAGUGGUAAAGGUAGUGAGGAAUAUAAGCAAGAAAAUAAGGGAUAGUGGUAAAGGUAGUGAGGAAUAUAAGCAAGAAAAUAAGGGAUAGACGUAAAGGUAGUGAGGAAUAUAAGCAAGAAAAUAAGGGAUAGUGGUAAAGGUAGUGAGGAAUAUAAGCAAGAUUAAGGGGUAAAUGGGGCACAAAGAUUGAUUAAUGUUCUCAUAUAUCUAGAAAUACCAUAAGUGUAAGUAGCAAUGCAGAUAUGAGUGCAUAGAGAGCCCCAGUAGUAAAGGUAGAGAUGAAUAUAAGCUAAAGGGAAGGAUAAUGAGAUAAGGGGGGCCAGAUCCAUGGAGCACAAGAUGGAUUGAUGUUCUCAUACACAUAAAAAUACCAUAAGUGUAAGUAGCAGUAGAUAUAAGUGCAUAGGAACCCAAUGCAGUUGAAGAAGGAAGGAAUAUAUGCUAAGGGGGAGGGAUAUAAGCUAAGGGGGGAGCUACAGAUUAAGGGGUAAAUGGAACACAUAUACCUAAAAUACCAUAAGUGUAAGUAGCAUACAGCCAUAUAAGUAAAGGUAGUGAGGAGUAUAAGCUAAGGGGGAGGAAUAUAUGA